GAGUUGGUUGGAUGAUCGCUAAUGAAAGUUAGAGGAAAGUCCGGACUUCAUAGAGCAGGGCGCCAGGUAAUUCCUGGGAAGUGAAAGCUUACGGAAAGUGCAACAGAAAAAAUACCGCCAAAUUAAUUUUGGUAAGGGUGAAAUGGUGAGGUAAGAGCUUACCGCUUAAAUGGCAACAUUUAAGGCAUUGUAAACCCCAGCCCGAAGCAAAACCAAAUAGAAAUCCUUUAAGGUUGCUCGUCUAGGAUUUGGGUAGGUUGCUAGAAUAUUGUGGUGACACAAUAUCAAGAUAGAUGAUCAUCUUAUACAGAAUCCGGCUUACAGACCAACUCAC
rnacentral:RNase_P_RNA from 1 species